rnacentral:rRNA from 1 species
AUUGAACGCUGGCGGCAGGCCUAACACAUGCAAGUCGGGCGGAGCGGCGGACGGGUGAGUAAUGCCUAGGAAUCUGCCUGGUGGUGGGGGAUAACGUCCGGAAACGGGCGCUAAUACCGCAUACUAUCAGAUGAGCCUAGGUCGGAUUAGCUAGUUGGUGGGGUAAAGGCCUACCAAGGCGUGGAUCCGUACCUGGUCUGAGAGGAUGAUCAGUAACACUGGAACUGAGACACGGCCCAGACUCCUACGGAGGGCAGCAGUGGGGAAUAUUGGACAAUGGGCACAAGCCUAAUGCAGCCAUGCGGGGUGUAUGAAGAAGGCCUUCGGGUUGUAAAGUACGUUCAUUCGGGAGGCGUUACCGACAGAAGAAGCACCGGCUAACUACGUGCCAGCAGCCGCGGUAAUAC